UGCAUUCACUACUGUAAGUCGCUCUGGAUAAGGGCAUCUGCUAAAUGACUAAAA
rfam:Salmo salar isolate Sally breed double haploid chromosome ssa13, whole genome shotgun sequence.